GCCUGGACAACAGAGCAAGACUCCGUCUCAAAAAAAAAAAAAAGUGUAUACGUGCAGAGAACUAAAUAUCUCAGCAUGCAUGUGUGUGUGUUUGUGCACGUGCAUUCCCUUUUGGAAGAAAAAAUACAAAAUGUUCAUAUACAUAUUUCAUAUAAAUUUAUUAUAGGAUGCACUUAGAUCUCCUUUUUUUUUUUUUCCCAAAAAUAUAUCUAACUAGGUUUUCAGUACUUUUGGGUUCAGGGUGGCUUUCUUAGUGCUUCUCAGUUCAAAUGUUAGUUUCUUCCACCUCUUCUGCAGUAUCAGUGAAGUCUUUUUUCCCAGCUUGGAUCAGCGAAAGGAUUUAAAAUCUGCUAAUUUGGCCAGGUGUGGUGGUUCACGCCUGUAAUCCUAACACUGGGAGGCCAAGGCGGGCAGAUCACAAGGUCAGGAGUUCGAGACCAGCCUGACCAACGUGGUGAAACCCCGUCUCUACUAAAAAUACAAAAAUUAGUCAGGCGUGGUGGCGUGCGCCUGUAAUCCCAGCUACUCAGGAGGCUGAGGCAGGAGAAUCACUUGAACCCGGGAGGCAGAGGUUGCAGUGAGCUGAGAUCGUGCCACUGCAUCCCAGCUUGGGCAACAGAGCAAGACACUGUCUCAAAAAAAGAUAAUAAUAAAAUAUGCAAAUGUAUCCACAAAACGUAUGACAAUGGUUUGGCACCUUUUUUGCUAGGAUGUCAAAAUCCAGCAAUAAAGUUGUUCUAACCAGAUUCGAACUAGUUUUGGUGUUUUUUUUGUUUUUUUGAGACGGAGUUUCGCUCUGUCACCCACGCUGGAAUGCAGUGGCAUGAUCUCAGCUCACUGCAAGCUCCGCCUCCUGGGUUCACGCCAUUCUCCUGCCUCAGCCUCCCGAGUAGCUGGGACUACAGGUACCCGCCACCACACCCGGAUAAUGUUUUGUAUUUUUAGUAGAGAUGGGGUUUCACUGUGUUAGCCAGGAUGGUCUCGAUCUGACCUCGUGAUCCGCCUGUCUCGGCCUCCCAAAGUGCUGGGAUUACAGGCGUGAGCCACUGCGCCCGGGCCUAGAACUAGAAUAUCAUAUAUCAAAUCUAAGCAGUCAAAUCUUGCCCAAGUCUUAGUGAUUCAAAUACCCUUUGGGGACCAGUUCCCUUUCAAGCACUUCACUGGUAUUUUCUUUCAAGGUGUUAUGAGUGCAUAUGUCAAGAAUUUUUUGGCUGGGUGCGGUGGCUCACGCCUGUAAUCCCAGCACUUUGGGAGGCCAAGGCAGGUGGAUCAUCUGAGGUCAGGAGUUCAAGACCAGCCUAGCUGACAUGGUGAAACACUGUCUCUACUAAAAAUACAAAAAAUUAGCCAGGCUUGGUGGUGGGCGCCUGUAAUCCCAGCUACCAGGGAGGCUGAGGUAGGAGAAUCAGUGGAACCCGGAAAGCAGAGGUUGGCGGUGAGCUGAGAUUGUACCACUGUACUCCAGCCUGGGCAACAGAGCGAGACUCCAUCUGAAAAAAAAAAAAAAAAAGAAUUUUUUAGUUGUAAGAGACUGUUAAGUAGUGAACCCUAAUUAAACAAGGCUAAGGGGAAGAAAGGAAAUUUAUGAGCUCAUAGAACUUAAUUGUCCAGGUAAGGUUCGUGUCAGUAUCAUCAGAAACUCAGGCACUCUCUCUCCUUCUGUCAGUUCUGCUUUCCAUUCUCAGGCAGACUCACCCCUUGCGGCAACGUAACUGCCAGCAGUUCCAGGCUUAGGUGGUCUUUUCUCAGCAACUCCCACAAAGCCUUGCUCUUACAAAUACUUCCGUAAAACCUGGACCUGACUCUGGCCAGAACUGUGUCACACUGUUACGGGUGGAGGGUGUCCAGGUUCUUGACGUUUUGAAAAAAGAAUUGGACGAAACGCACAAAGCAAUGAAAGAAAAGCACAGAUUUAUUGAAACGAAAGUACACUCCACAGAGUAGGGAGCAGGUUAGAGGAAGUGACUCAACAAUGCUGGUUACAGAAUUUUCUGGGGUUUAAAUACCCUUCAGAGGUUUCCCAUUGGUAUGCCCUAUGUAAAUGAAGAGGGUAAGUGAAGUUACAAAGUUAUUUACUUGGCAUACACCCCAUGGAAAUGAAGAGGAUGUUUCCUGCCAUAGCUGAAGUGAAGUUACAAAGUUAUUUAGUUGGGCAUAGAAAGUUGGGGUUUUGGCCUGGAGGUGGGAGAGCGGGGAGGGCUCAUGCCUGUAAUCCAAACACUUUCGGAGGCGGAGGUGGGCGGACCUUUGGCCAACAUAGUGAAACUCCGUCUCUACUAAAAAUACAAAAAUUAGCCUAGCAUGGUGGGGGGUGCCUGUAAUCCCAGCUACUUGGGAGGCUGAGGCAGGAGAAUUGCUUGAACCCGGGAGGCGGAAGUUGCAGUGAGCCAAGAUCAGGCCACUGAACUCCAUCUAGAAAAAAAAAAAGACAGUUAAUUGGGGUUUUUCCCUUUUAUUGAGUUCUAGGAAGUAUGUAUGUUUGUUUGUUUAUUUAUUAAAACAGAGUCUCACUUUGUUGCCCAGGCUGUAGUGCAGUGGUAGGAUCUUGGCUCACUGCAACCUCUGCCUCCCAGGUUCAAGCGAUUUUCCUGCCUCAGCCUCCCAAGUAGCUGGGAUUACAGGUGCUCACCACCACACCAAGCUAAUUUUUCUAUUUUUAAUAGAGAUAGAAUUUCACCAUGUUGGCCAGGGUGGCCUCGAACUCCUGAUCUCAGGUGAUCCACCGGCCCCGGCAUCCCAACGUGCUGGGAUUACAGGUGUGAGCCACUGCACUCGGCCUAGUUCUAGGAAGUUUUUAGGUUCCCUGCCUCCAGACCCCAUUCUCCUGCAUCAACAUAAGCAUCCUGAAUCAAUCAUCCAGGCAGGACGGGCAGGUUAUACAGUUUUGUUGUAAACAGUUAUGUUAAGGCCAGGAUUACUUUGGAUAUUUGGGCUCACUUUGGUUCCACAUGAAUUUUAGGAUUUUUUUUUCUAUCUCUGAAAAUGUCAUUGGUAUUUUGAUAGGGAUUGAAAUGAAUCUGUAGAUCACUUUGG
rnacentral:lncRNA from 1 species